CGUGAACCUUCUCUAUAAAUAUACGUUCUCUGACAAUACUAUGAUGUUUCAUUGUGGUAUUUGUAUAAACACAGCCAAAAAACAGGUAACAAACUUUGCUAAAAGCUUUUACACAAAAGCUCUUCGAAAUAUUCUGUCAAAAUGACUUAAAAAAAUAAUUAUUGAAAUAGAAAACAAAAUAUUUUUCACAAUUUUUCUUCCGGAAAAGCAGACAAUGUCUCAUUUAUGUGAGAAUUCUAGAGAGACUUUAACCAAAUCGCUUUUUUGCGAUGAAAAUAGAUUAACUUUACAGUAUUUGAAAUAAUUAUACUUAUUGGACCUAACUGAAAAAAAAGUUAUAGUAAAACCGUAAGAAAAAACCCGUAAGAAAUAACCCGUAAGAAAAAGACUGUAAGAUCGCUAGUUAUAGCCUACCUUUAGGUUUUGCAAAAUAAUUAUGCUUGAAAAUCUGUAACAUUAUUGUGUAUGCAAAUUAGUUUUGGGUGAGAAUUGUGCUUGCACUAAGUACGUUUAUUGGGAGUUGAAUUGUUGCAUAUUUUUUGGCGCAGGUUGUUUAAUGGUUUGAGGAAAUAACCCGUAAGAAAAAGAUUGUAAGAUCGCUAGUUAUAGCCUACCUUUAGGUUUUGAAAAAUAAUUAGGCAUGAAAAUCUGUAACAUUAUUGUGUAUGCAAAUUAGUUUUGGGUGAGAAUUGUGCUUGAAUUAAAUAUAUAGGAUAACGCGUGGUGCUUUUCGCUCAGUUGUCAAUUUUACCGUGCGAUUCUGUAACUUGAGACAGUCUCAAGUCUCUAAAUUUGAGAUUUUAAGUUAGAGACAAUUUUUGAGACUUGAGAUGAUAUUGCUAUUCUGUAAGCGACAGUCACAAAAUCUAUUACAUUUCAUUAUUCAGAGAUGUUUUUACACUUGAAUGAAAAUAAAUAUGUCGAUAACAAAUAUUAAAUUUUCUAUAACAUAGUCAAAAAACAUAAUUAUCAAUGAAAAUAAAAAUAUAUGUUGACUUUGUUUCAUAAUAUUUACGAAAUUUAUAUAAAAUUGGUCAGCAGGUCAGUUGUUUUGUUUUCAAAUCUUAUGUGUACAUAUCUACUUCUAACAAAGGAAUGGAAAUAUUAAUGGUUUUGGGACUAUUUGUAUUUACAUUCUUAUUGUUCUUAUUUUUACUGAUAAUGAAAAGUAUUUGUACACAUAUGUGACUAUCUACAACUAGUACUUAUAACUAUACAUAAAUAUUUAUGUUGUCUUAGCUGCACUUAAGUUGUAAACAAUGUACUCGUAUAUGUAAACAUGUACGUAUAACCAAAUACAUGUGUAACUGUCUAUAACUAUCCCCUCCCUUAAACAGAUGCGUCCCGAAUCUGCUUUAGGUUACCUUCGAUAGUUUUCAUCAUCAGGUCAAAAUGCUCAUUUGUAAAAAGGUUACUUUGUUGCGAUGGGUUGGAAAAUGUGCUGAUUACUGUAUCUGAUCUUUUACAUUUUAGGUACACAAUUAUUGUUAUUGAAAUGAGGACAUACCAAUACAUAUUUCGUUUUGAUGCAUCUUCACUAAAUUUUUCUAUCUUCUGUAGGUUUUGUAUGUGUAUUUGAUGCAGGUAAGGUAGCGUUGGGAUUGUGGCAUGCUCGGAGAUAUUCAAUUUGAAGCGGUUCGUUAAUUCAGGCACCAUAGAUGGACUUUUUUCGCUCACCGGGUACUUUGUAUUAUUUAUUAAAAUAUCGUUGUCGUACAUUAUUAAGAAUGUCCCCAUCAAUUCAUUCGUUUGGUUUCCUUCCGUUAAGAUUAUAUUCUGGUUGUUGACUAACAGAAUGUUUUCGUCGAUUUGGAUGAUCGGAGGUACAUGGUAUGCUGUAGUUGUCUUACAGGUUGCCGAAAUGUUGUUUAGCAUUUGGUACAUGCAGAUAUCAAAUGUAUCAAUUUGACAGAAAGGGAUAGUUACAGUUUCCUUGCAGUUAUAAAGCGGACUACGCCCUGCAAGACGGAGGUAACAGAUUGCACAAACACAUUGAAACAUUUUCAGCUGUUCACUAACACUGUUACAUUUUCUGGAAUUUUCAAUUGAAUGGGAAAAUACGUAAGUAAGAUAGAGAAAAACUAUCGACAUUCUAAACAUAUUGUAAUAUUAACUUGCUAGAAUAGGAGAGACGAAUGCCCAAUUUUUCAAGAAGAAGAAAACGAAAAGCGCAGUUUAUUUUGGUUUUUAAAGAGAGUAAACAAAAAAGAUUAACAACGAGAAAAAGAAAUCAUUUGGAGCGUUUGGAUGCGUAUAACAAAGACGCACCAUUCAAUUAGCCGCAUCACCGGUGACUUGGAGGACGAGCAUUACGUGGAGCUCGCUAUUAGUUUAAGUAAAUAUUUCAUUAUUUUGAUGUUAUUAUUAAAUAAAGCGAAAUAAUAAAAAAACUGAAUUUUAUUUAAAAGAAUUGAAUUUGCUAGAAGUAGCAAAUGGGUAACAGAUAAUCUUGUUACUGCUUGUUCUUGCUAACAUGCUUAUAUGUUAUAGGUAACAAACUGAUAACGAAAAUAAUAACACUAACAGAUAUUCGGGUAACAAAUAC